ensembl:snoRNA U3 Small nucleolar RNA U3
AAGAUGACACUUUGAGGCAUCGUGUCUAUGGUUCAUUACUACAGAAGCUUCUCUGGAUGUGUAAAGCACAGGAAACCAGGCAGAGGAGGCACAGGGUGCUCUCCAGAACGAGAAGCCAGCUCCUGGAGUUGUUUGCUGCAACUGCCAUUCCCCAUUGAUGACCAUGCUCUUCCUUCAGAAGAGGGAGAGUGAGAGGACCAAGUCCAAGUGGU